rnacentral:rRNA from 1 species
UUGCUCUUCAACGAGGAAUGCCUAGUAAGCGCAUGUCAUCAGCAUGCGUUGAUUACGUCCCUGCCCUUUGUACACACCGCCCGUCGCUACUACCGAUUGAAUGGCUCAGUGAGGCCUCCGGACUGGCUUGAGGAGGUUGGCAACGACCACCUUGAGCCGGAAAGUUCGUCAAACUCGGUCAUUUAGAGGAAGUAAAAGUCGUAACAAGGUUUCCGUAGGUGAACCUGCGGAAGGAUCAUUGUCGUGACCCUGACCAAAACAGACCGCGCACGCGUCAUCCAAUCCGUCGGCGACGGCACCGUCCGUCGCUCGGCCAAUGCCUCGACCACCUCCCCUCCUCGGAGCGGGUGGGGGCUCGGGGUAAAAGAACCCACGGCGCCGAAGGCGUCAAGGAACACUGUGCCUAACCCGGGGGCAUGUCUAGCUUGCUAGCCGUCCCUUGUGUUGCAAAGCUAUUUAAUCCACACGACUCUCGGCAACGGAUAUCUCGGCUCUCGCAUCGAUCAAGAACGUAGCGAAAUGCGAUACCUGGUGUGAAUUGCAGAAUCCCGCGAACCAUCGAGUCUUUGAACGCAAGUUGCGCCCGAGGCCACUCGGCCGAGGGCACGCCUGCCUGGGCGUCACGCCAAAACACGCUCCCAACCACCCUCAACGGGAUUCGGGAUGCGGCAUCUGGUCCCUCGUCUCUCAAGGGACGGUGGACCGAAGAUUGGGCUGCCGGCGUACCGCGCCGGACACAGCGCAUGGUGGGCGUCCUUGCUUUAUCAAUGCAGUGCAUUCGGCGCGCAGCUGGCAUUAUGGCCUUUGAACGACCCAACAAACGAAGCGCACGUCGCUUCGACCGCGACCCCAGGUCAGGCGGGACUACCCGCUGAGUUUAAGCAUAUCAAUAAGCGGAGGA